AAAUCUCUCUAGAAUUUACUUGGAAAUAUUUCUGAGAUUUUUUUUUAGACUGACCUUUUCUUUUCUUUCUUUCUUUCUUUCUUUCUUUCUUUCUUUCUUUCUUUCUUUCAGAGAGCACAUGUAGGCAGAGAGGCAGAGGGAGAGGGAGAGAAUCUCAAGCAGACUCUGGGCUGAGUGUGGAGCCUGAUAUGGGGCUUGAUCUCACAAUCCUGAGAUCAUGAUCUGAGCUGAAACCAAGAGUCAGAUGUUUAACAGACUGAGCCACCCAAGUACCCCUGAGAUGUUUUUAAUUGGACUUUUCUUCACAAAUGGAGUGGGAAAUAACACCUCUGAGUGAAGACGGAAAAAGAGGUCCUGAUUAUUAGGUGAAUUUGUAGCUGUCCCUCAGACCUUCUCUGGAUGACGCAACACAACCAACUCUGAUGUCAACCCUGAGAAUUUUGCUGAUGCACAGGCUGGGAGUGACAGAGGCUGGCCUGUAACUCCGCUGACCUACUUCCCGCCUGGCUCUCCAGCCAGCAGCCAACGCAUCAUCCAUUUUAACCAGCUUUUCAAGGUCACGACUUUUCAAUGCAGAGGCUGGCUUUUGCUUGACACAAAGCCAGGUACCAUCAAUUGUCCUGUUUCCGAAAUUUCCAGUGUUCCCUUUCUUCAGCUGAGUAAAAAGUAUGGGGUGGGCUCCUGUUUAGGACAGAUAACAAAUGCAGUUGCUUUGAGCCUAAAUUGGCCACUUGGUUUACACUUGAGGUGCUUAAAAAGCAGGUUUUCCACUAUUAUGGAGCACCUGGGCCAGACCCAAUACAAACAGUGAAGAAUUUAGGUUGUCCCAGUAGACAGUAAUACUCCUUUUUUUUGUUGUUGUUGUUGUGACGCAGACAAAUGUAUGCUCCACAUAAACACAAUGUCUUAUUUUUCACUCUUAUGAAAGGACCAUAUGAAACCAGCUCUUCACAGAUAAAAAGCAACUGCUUUGUGUAUCUAUUACUGUACCUUUCAUCUCCCAAGGCUUUGUGAGAAACUUCCAGCUGGAGCUACAUUCUUUUCUGGUUUGAUAAAGAUAAAUUGUAUUCAGUGAGAGAGAAAGGGGAAACAUUUUCUUGAUUAUUCUUUAAAUAAAAAGUCAGGGGAAAUGUGAUUUUUCUUUUUU
rnacentral:lncRNA from 12 species